GGGUUGUGAGGUUAAGCGACUAAGCGUACACGGUGGAUGCCCUGGCAGUCAGAGGCGAUGAAGGACGUGCUAAUCUGCGAUAAGCGUCGGUAAGGUGAUAUGAACCGUUAUAACCGGCGAUUUCCGAAUGGGGAAACCCAGUGUGAUUCGUCACACUAUCAUUAACUGAAUCCAUAGGUUAAUGAGGC
rnacentral:rRNA from 1 species